rnacentral:rRNA from 1 species
CGUAGGGUGCGAGCGUUAAUCGGAAUUACUGGGCGUAAAGCGUGCGCAGGCGGUUAUAUAAGACAGAUGUGAAAUCCCCGGGCUCAACCUGGGACCUGCAUUUGUGACUGUAUAGCUAGAGUACGGUAGAGGGGGAUGGAAUUCCGCGUGUAGCAGUGAAAUGCGUAGAUAUGCGGAGGAACACCGAUGGCGAAGGCAAUCCCCUGGACCUGUACUGACGCUCAUGCACGAAAGCGUGGGGAGCAAACAGGAUUAGAUACCCUGGUAGUCCACGCCCUAAACGAUGUCAACUGGUUGUUGGGUCUUCACUGACUCAGUAACGAAGCCUAACGCGUGAAGUUGACCGCCUGGGGAGUACGGCCGCAAGGUUG